rnacentral:lncRNA from 1 species
CAACCGCGCCUCCUUCUCUUCUCUUCCCCACCACCUCGGCUCUAACCCGUCCACUCCAGAUCUGUUCGUUGUCCAGCGGUGCGGCGCGUUGUCCACUCGAGAUCCUUUCGCCGUGUGGCUCCUCUAGCUCCUCAUCCUCGCCUUCCUCGUCGUAACCGUGCUUAGCCUCGCCGAUUCUAGAGGCUUCCUACUCAGAUUCGUGAGAUCUCUAUUGAUUUUCGCACAAGGGUUUCGAACACUGGAUUUUGCAAAGGGGGUUUUCGCACACAGGGGUCCAAGCACACCUGCAAAUCUCAACAUUGUGAAAGAAGGGGUUUAUCUGAUUUAUUUUUGCAAGUUUCAUGUGGCGAGAGCCCCAAUUUCUUGAUUAUAUUAGAGAUUUUGGUAUCGGAAAAAUUGUGAUUCUUGGAACAUGUAAGGGAAAUUUUCGUGGAAACCCAUAUGAAUUUUGGAGAUAUUUUGCAAGUUUAAUCUGCAAUUUUCGUGAAAUACUUGGGAUACGUGGAAUAUUUUCUGGUUUAAUUCCUAGUUUUGAUCUCCUUAAAAAUUCAUUAAACUCCUCCCUCCCCUUAAGUUUAGUUUUCUUAAUCUCUACAGAGGGAGUAUAUUUUUAGAUAUUCUUUGCUUAGUUUCAUUACAUAAUUGCUCAUAUUUGUUUUUAUGUUGUAGGUUCUACCAAACGAAAAGUUCGGGGAGUUACAAAAAGUUUGUCGGUGCAAACAAAGGCAGUCUUCUCAAAGGUUUGUUGGUUCAACAAUUUGUACUCGUAAUUUGUGGUCUCAUUGGUGCAUGAGAAGUCUUUGUUUA